rnacentral:lncRNA from 1 species
UUUAUUCAUUCGUUUAUUUAUUAGUUUAUUUAUUUGUUUGGCUAUUUAUUUUAUUUAUUUUUUUAGUAGACGUAAAAAUUUCCAUUUCUUCAUGGGCCUACUACAAUGACAAAAUUAUCGACUUGAUAGAAAUGAAAAAAAAGAAGUACUUAAAAAAAAAGAAAAACGUAAUACAUGUUAAUAAAACAACAUCUUCUUCUACAUUUUGUCAUAAAUGUUAUAUUAAAAAUUCUUUUGAUAAUUGUAAUUGUGCAUUGUACAGUAGUUGCAAAAUGUUACCCAUAAAAAAAAUAAUAAAAAAUAGUAAAAAUUUAAUGUAUUGUUUAAAAAUUAUUAUUAAGAACAGUAUUAACAUAAUUAAAAAUAAGAAGAACAAAAAAAUAACGAAAAAAAGGAAAAAUAAUUUAUGCUACGUUUUUAAAUUUAAAAUUAAAAUAAAAGAAGAAUAUAGUACAGUCUAUUUAAUUAAUUUUCCUAUUUGCAAUAUAAAAAAUAAUAACAUUUUUUGUAAUAACAAUAAUGAAAAAACACUUUUAUUUUUAUUUAAUAAGAAAAUUAGAAAAACAAUAAAAAAUAUUAAUAAUUAUUCAAAUUUUAUAUUUCCAUUUAAUAAUUCAAAAGAUUGUCAGAAGGCUGAUAAUUUAAAAAAAAAAAUCAUUUAUUUUUUAAGUCGAAAAAAAAGUCCAUUUUAUAAAACCAACAAAAAUACGAACAAGUUAACUUGGGAAAAAAAAAAUAAUGAUAAAGACAUUAUUGAAAAAGAUGUAAAUUUAGAAUUGGUAGCGAGUGAUCAGCGAGAGUUGGUAAAGAGUGAUCAGCAAGAGUUGAUAAGGAGUGAUCAGCGAGAGUUAGUAACGCAUGAUCAGCGAGAGUUAGUAACGCAUGAUCAGCGAGAGUUAGUAACGAGUGAUCAGCAAAGGUUAGUAACGAGUGAUCAGCGAGAGUUAGUAACGAGUAGUCAGCGAGAGUUGGUAAAGAGUGAUCAGCAAGAGUUGAUAAGGAGUGAUCAGCGAGAGUUAGUAACGAGUGAAAAAUGUUUAAGUGAAAAUUCCACUUACAAAGCUUUUGAAAAAGAAAAGGAAAAAAAAGUAAAAGAAGAAUAUACAUCUUCUAUGCAUACGUUUAUGAACAAACAAACAGAAGAUAUAAAAAAGGAGCCCGUUUUUACAAAAUAUCGUAAAAAAGAUAUAAUUUUUCAUAUACACAUGUUCGAAUUAUUAAUAAGACUUAUAUUUGAUUAUUCUAAAACGUAUUUUACUUUUUUUAUUAGUAAAUUAACAUGUGUGGACGAAUUUUAUAAAAAUAUGUACUACUUAAACUUAAGUAAAUUAGUUAAUAUAAAAAUACAACAUAAAAAAAAAAAAAAAAAAAAAAGCGAAAAAGAUAUGAGCACAACAUCAGUAAAAAUGGCAACAGAAAUGAAUAUUAAAAACUUAAAUAUUAAAAAUGAAAGAAGUACAAAUAACUUGUUAAAUAAGUUAAUAAAAGAAAAUGAUGAUUAUAAAACGAAAAUAAAUGAAAAAGAUGAAAAAAUAAUAAGUUUGAAUAAUGAAAUAAAAAACAUUAAACAAAAUAUCAUACAAUUGGAAAAUGAAUUGACAAAACAGAAAGAUGAAAACUUAAAUAAAAUAAAAAUUAUUGAAAAUUUAAAAAACAAAAUACAUAAAAAAGAUGUAACACAAAAUGAUAAAAAUGAUAAAAAUAAUAGUACUGACCAAUUAUUAAAAAAUAGCAAUUAUAUAAAAAAAUUAUAUAAUGAAAAUAAUAUACUAAAAGAUAAAAUAAAAAAAUUAAAUAGUUUAACUAAAAGGCAAUGUAGUAGUUCUUUAAAUCCACUUCCAAAUAUAUUAGACAAAAAAGAAUUUUCAAAAACUGAUUUGGUUGAUAAUAAAGCGACAGCUGAUAUAGUUAUAAACACACAGAAAGAAAUUAUUGCAAAAAUUAAGAAAGAUCACAAUGAUUAUUUAGAAGAAUUUCAAAAAAGCAAAGAUGUUUUUAAAAAGGAAAUAGAAAAAUCUUUAGAUUUUAUAUAUUCAGUAUGCGAAGAUAUAAAAACGAAAAAAGAAAAGAUUUGUCUAACUAAUAGGAUAAAUAAAUUACAUGAAAACAUAAAUAAUUUUUUAUAUAAAUUUGAAAAGGAAUUGUAAAAAGCUUAUAAAAGAAUGGUCAACUUUUAAAUUUUGAUAUUUUUUUUAAAAAUGUUUGAAAUUAACCAAGUUACAAAAAAAGUAAAAGAAAUUAUUUAAUAAAAUAAAAACUCAUAAUUUUUUGCCUAAGUGG